rnacentral:ncRNA from 1 species
UAUAAAUUUUAUUCUAGUUUAAUAUUGAAUUGGCUUUAAAUUAAUUUAUAAUAUGUAAGUUUUUGCGUGAUUUUGAAUUUUAUUUUAAUAAUAAUGUUUAAUUUAUUAUUUUUCGCAGUUUUUGAUUUUAAAUUUAUUCAGUGCUCUGAGAUUUAGUUAAAUUUUAUGAUAAAUGACUAGCAAAUGUUGUGCCAGCAGCUGCGGUUAUACAAUUAGUCAAAGUUAAUUUUAUUAGGGUAUAUUAUUUUUAUGAUUUAUAUCUAUGAUAAUUUUUGGGUGAAAUUUAAAUUAUCUUUUAAAAAUUUGGUAUAUUUAUUAAAUCUUAUAAGAAAUUCUUCUUUUAGACUAGGAUUAGAUACCCUAUUAUUGUGAAUGUAUAUUAUUUACUCUUAGUAUUAUAAGUUAUGAUCUUUAAAUUGAAAGAAUUUGACGGUAAUUUAAUCAUUUUAGAGGAACCUGUUCUGUAAUUGAUAAUCCACGAUAAAUUUUACCUUUAAAUAUAAUUUAUUUUAGUUUGUAUAUCUCUGUUUGGUUGAAUGUUUUAUUAGGAUUAUUUUCGUUAAUUUUUCUUUGAGUUUUAUGUCAGGUCAAGGUGCAGCUAAUGUGAAGGUUUGAAAUGGGUUACAUUUUAUUUUAAUAUUUGGAUUUAUUUAAUUUAAUUUUUAUAAUGAAAAUGGAUUUAGAAGUAAUGAAUAAAAUAUUUUAUUCAUGACAUAUGUUCUUGAUUAAGUACACAUCGCCCGUCACUCUCAUUAAUAAGAUGAGAUAAGUCGUAACAAAGUAGUCCUAUCGGAAGUUGGGACUGGAAUAUA